GAUCCUGGCUCAGGAUGAACGCUGGCGGCGUGCCUAACACAUGCAAGUCGAACGGAGUUGUUUCGGUGAAGUUUUCGGAUGGAUCCGGCUCAACUUAGUGGCGGACGGGUGAGUAAUGCGUGAGCAACCUGCCCUUCAGAGGGGGACAACAGUUGGAAACGACUGCUAAUACCGCAUAAUGUAUUCGGAAGGCAUCUUCUGAAUACCAAAGGAGAAAUCCGCUGAGGGAUGGGCUCACGU
rnacentral:rRNA from 1 species